AUUGAACGCUGGCGGCAGGCUUAACACAUGCAAGUCGAGCGGGGAAGGGUAGCUUGCUACCUAACCUAGCGGCGGACGGGUGAGUAAUGCUUAGGAAUCUGCCUAUUAGUGGGGGACAACAUCUCGAAAGGGAUGCUAAUACCGCAUACGUCCUACGGGAGAAAGCAGGGGACCUUCGGGCCUUGCGCUAAUAGAUGAGCCUAAGUCGGAUUAGCUAGUUGGUGGGGUAAAGGCCUACCAAGGCGACGAUCUGUAGCGGGUCUGAGAGGAUGAUCCGCCACACUGGGACUGAGACACGGCCCAGACUCCUACGGGAGGCAGCAGUGGGGAAUAUUGGACAAUGGGGGGAACCCUGAUCCAGCCAUGCCGCGUGUGUGAAGAAGGCCUUUUGGUUGUAAAGCACUUUAAGCGAGGAGGAGGCUACUGGUAUUAAUACUACCGGAUAGUGGACGUUACUCGCAGAAUAAGCACCGGCUAACUCUGUGCCCGCCGCCGCCGUAAAAC
rnacentral:rRNA from 1 species